rnacentral:rRNA from 1 species
UUCCAGACUCCUACGGGAGGCAGCAGUGAGGAAUAUUGGUCAAUGGGCGAGAGCCUGAACCAGCCAAGUCGCGUGAGGGAAGACGGUCCUAUGGAUUGUAAACCCCUUUUGUCGGGGAGCAAAAAGGCCUCGUGAGGCCACAAGUGAGAGUACCCGAAGAAAAAGCAUCGGCUAACUCCGUGCCAGCAGCCGCGGUAAUACGGAGGAUGCGAGCGUUAUCCGGAUUUAUUGGGUUUAAAGGGUGCGUAGGCGGACUGGAAAGUCAGCGGUAAAAUCGUGGGGCUCAACCCCAUCCAGCCGUUGAAACUGGGGAUCUAGAGUGUGCGAGAGGUAUGCGGAAUGCGUGGUGUAGCGGUGAAAUGCAUAGAUAUCACGCAGAACCCCGAUUGCGAAGGCAGCAUACCGGUGCACAACUGACGCUCAGGCACGAAAGCGUGGGUAUCGAACAGGAUUAGAUACCCUCGUAA